AAUUCAUACUCAAUCAACAACAACAAAAAAGAUCAUGUCUGUUCUGAAGCAAAAUGCCAACAAAAACAUAGUGACAAGAAAAGCUUUAUUGACUAAAUCUAACAACGAUUCUAGAGGUAAAUUGGCGAGACAAAAGCAAAAUCGCGGUGAUACAAAUUAGUAUAUAAUCAUAGAGUUCGUCUAUAUUUCGUUUCAUUUGUGUCGCCAAUCUCUGAUUUGUAGCAACUAACUGUAGUUUGUAUUGGAGAUAAUGAUUGUCUCACAUGGAUAAUGUAUGUAUGAAUAUACGAGGGACCAUGCUUUAAUGUUAUUUCUCGUAAAAUCCUUUACAGAUUAGACAACCUUUAAAAUGCGGUUAACAAGAUCAUUAUUGGGUUAUUUUAAGAGGUAUGUGGAUCAUGAAAUAGCAACGACGAAGGGAAAGACUGUUUACAAGAAUGUUUAUGGAUGGAAGCGUGUUCAAUUUGAUUAUAAGCCAUGGGUUUAUGGUGAAGACCGACCAUGGACAGAUGCUGCCAAACAUAUGAACUUAACAAAAAAUGCAAAGGCAACGAAACUUCGAAGUACCUUAGUUGAACCCAUUAAAGAUUGGUUAAUAUUUCGCGGAGACAGGAAGAAUUUCUCCACCAAAAUGGCUGACACUGUAUCCGAAGGAAUUCUCCUUGGGCUUGGAAAUCCUCUUCUUGACAUUACUGUUGUUUGCCCAGACAACGCAUUACUCGAUAAAUAUGGUUUACUAGCUAACAAUGCUAUCAUAGCUGCAGAAGUUCACCAUCCUCUCUAUGAGGAGAUGGUGAAAAAUUACAAACCGGAAUAUUUACCUGGAGGUGCCACCCUUAAUAGUGUGCGUGUAGCACAGUGGCUUCUGCAGAAACCAAAUGCUACCACAUUUUUUGGUGGUGUAGGCCAGGAUAAAUAUGCUGAGAUUUUGAAAAAGAAGUCUAUUGAUGUUGGUGUGAACGUGCGCUAUCAAGUCCACAGUGAUGUUCAAACUGGUGUUUGUGGGGCAAUAAUAACUGGAGAAGACCGAUCACUCGUGACAGAAUUGGGGGCUGCCCAACACUUCUGCGUUGAUUUCUUGAAAAAACCUGAGAACUGGAAGUGGAGAUUUUAACUGGGAAGGAUAAAGGGAAGCAAGGCAUUGUGACUCAGAUUAUAAAGGAACGUAAUUGGUGCUAUGUAGAAGGCCUUAACUAUAAAUACGAAGAACUGUAUAAAACUGC
rnacentral:misc_RNA from 1 species